UACGUAGGGUGCGAGCGUUGUCCGGAAUUAUUGGGCGUAAAGGGCUCGUAGGCGGUCUGUCGCGUCGGGAGUGAAAACUCAGGGCUUAACCCUGAGCCUGCUUCCGAUACGGGCAAACUAGAGUACUGCAGGGGAGACUGGAAUUCCUGGUGUAGCGGUGAAAUGCGUAGAUAUCUGGAGGAAUACCGGUGGCGAAGGCGGCAUCCUGGACCGAGAUUGACACUGAUGAGCGAAAGCCAGGGGAGCAAACGGG
rnacentral:rRNA from 1 species